GCGACCCCAGGUCAGACGGGCCACCCACCGAG
rnacentral:rRNA from 1 species